GCCAGGCAUGGUGGUGCAUGCCAGUAAUCCCAGCUACUCGGGAGGCUGAGACAGGAGAAUCACUUGAACCCGGGAGGUGGAGGCUGCAGGGAGCCGAGAUUGCGCACUGCACUCCAGCCUGGGCAACAGAGUGAGACUCUGUCUCAA
rnacentral:SRP_RNA from 1 species